rnacentral:rRNA from 1 species
GACAGAGGUCCCAAGCGUUAGGCGGAAUCACUGGGCUUAAAGCGUGUGUAGGCGGAUGCCUAAGUACCUUGUGAAAUCCCACGGCUCACCCGUGGAACUGCUUGGUAUACUGGGUGUCUUGAGCCACUUAGGGGCUACCGGAACAAAUGGUGGAGCGGUGAAAUGCGUAGAUAUCAUUUGGAACGCCAACGGUGAAAAACAGGUAGCUGGGGAGUGUGCUGACGCUGAGACACGAAAGCCAGGGGGAGCAAAACGGGG